rnacentral:rRNA from 1 species
AACGAACGCUGGCGGCAGGCCUAACACAUGCAAGUCGAACGCCGUAGCAAUACGGAGUGGCAGACGGGUGAGUAACACGUGGGAACGUACCUUUCGGUUCGGAAUAACUCAGGGAAACUUGAGCUAAUACCGGAUACGUGCGAGAGCAGAAAGAUUUAUCGCCGAAAGAUCGGCCCGCGUCCGAUUAGCUUGUUGGUGAGGUAACGGCUCACCAAGGCGACGAUCGGUAGCUGGUCUGAGAGGAUGAUCAGCCACACUGGGACUGAGACACGGCCCAGACUCCUACGGGAGGCAGCAGUGGGGAAUAUUGGGCAAUGGGCGGAAGCCUGACCCAGCAACGCCGCGUGGAGGAAGACGGCCUUCGGGUUGUAACUCCUUUACGGGGUAGAGGAAGGACGGUACCCGAGAAUAAGUCACGGCUAACUACGUGCC